UGUCGCCACCAUUAAGGUAUCUCUUCAAUCGAUCCAAGUCAUCAGCAGCAUCCAGCAUUGUGGGUCUUGUGGAUGGAGAUUCUUGAGUGCAGAGCAAACCCAAUUCGAUUAGCUCUCGGAUUGCCACUUCCCACAUUUUCUUCAUUUCAGGCAUCUUUGUGGAGAUAUGGCCGAUAGAGAUGGAGAUGGAGAAGCCUUUGUCAACUCUGCUAUAACUCACUUGACACUCCUAAUUUUCUACAUUUGCUUGUUGCACUGCUUCCAAUUCCAGGGGUCAUCAACUUUGAGAUCCCAAAGUCAGAGACAAGGGCUGUCAUGUCAUCUUUUAGAAGUACAUUGCUUGGCUUUAAAUCACAGUGUAUGACUCUGACUGGAGAAUGAUGAUGCAGGCUCGUAUUCCAGGAAUUGUCCCGCAAAGGAGUGGAUUGUUCAAAAAUGACAGAAGUGUGGAUGAUUUGAAAAACCCCUCUCUUGGAAUCAUUCCUUGGAAGUUAUUGAAUGAAAGAUUCAGGUAAGUGAGAGAUUGGAGCUUACCCAGACUGACUGGAAUCGUGCCUGACAAUUGGUUUUCUGAAAUGUCCAAGGAUUCAAGGUUCUCAAGUUCGCCCAGGGAAUCUGGAAGACGACCUUGGAGGGAAUUAUUCGAAAAAUUUAUCAAUCUCAGCGCAAUGCAACUUGAUAUCUGAGGGAAGAUGCUUCCAGUGAGGUUAUUGGAUGAAAGGUCCAUCUCUUGAACAUUUUUCAGCUUGCUAAGCUCAAUGGGUAAGUUCCCUUGAAAAUUGUUAUGAGAAAGGUUGAUAAAAAUUCUUAUCUCUUGCAAGCCUAAUAUCUCUCGAGGAAUGCUUCCUGAUAACAUGUUGAAAGAUAAGUCUAGCUUUUGUAGACCUGUGCACCUUACCAACGCUGUAGGUAUUGUUCCAGUCAAGAGGUUGUUGUUGAGAAACAAAUAGAUCAUCUGGGUCAAACUUCCAAUACUUUCUGGGAUCUCUCCUGAAAGUUGGUUAUGAGAUAGAUCCAACAAUCCGAGAUGUGGCAACUCGCCUAAUUCUUCUGGAAUGUUAGAAGUGAAGAGGUUGUGUGAUAAGAAAAGCUGUUCCAAUUUUGACAACCUGCUUAUCUCUGCAGGAAUUGUUCCGUUAAGUAGAUUUGAUGUCAAAUUCAGCCCUGCAAGUUUCGAAAGCUUGGCUAAACUUGGAGGAAUUGAUCCAAAUAUCUGGUUUUCCUGCAAAGACAGAACUGAAAAAUUGACACCCAGAUGACCAAUAGAAUCAGGCAGCCUGCCUCCAAGCCCCAUCCCUGCCAAUUCAAGCUCCUCUAAACUACUGCAGUUUCUAAGAGAAGUAAUGAAUGGUUCAAGAUUGGUAUUUCCAUCGUGGCUUACCAUAUCAUUAUUUGAUAAGUGAAGGAAGCUAAGUGCAGGAAGGUUUUCUACAAGCACUGCAGGUAGUUCGCCAGAAAGAUGAUUAUAUUCGACAUCCAAGUUAUAAAGCGAAGUGUUUGUUAAAGAAAGAGGAAGUUCUCCACUGAACUGGUUGUUAUACAGAUUGAGAUUCCACAGCUUUGGGCAAUUUCCAAUUUCUUCUGGAAUUCUUCCUGUCAGGAAGUUGUUGGACAGGUCUACAUUUAGCAAAGACGUGCAAUUAGAAAAGAGAGAAGGUGGAACUGUGCCAUUUAGCUUGUUCUCCAUAAGACUUAUUACGGUAAGCUUGGACAAACUAGCAAGGGAAGUUGGUAUAGGACCUUCCAAACUGUUGCUGUCAAGCCGAAGGCGGUGAAGAUUUCGAAGAGAGAAGAGUUCGGGAGGAAUUUCUCCAAAAAGAUUAUUGUUAACGAUAUCUAGAAUUCGAAGACCCGUGAGAUUGGAGAGGAAGGGUGGAAUCUUUCCCACAAGUCCGACAUCAAUCAAACUGAGCUUCGAUACCCGAUGACGGUGUCGGUCACAAGCAACGCCAGUGAAGUUGCAUACAUCAACAGCCUCAAUCCAGUUAGCUAGAGUGGAAGUGGGGUCAUGUAUGAUGCACUUCCUGAAGGCAAGGAGAGCUGCUUUAUCAGUGAGCAAGGACUUAUGAGGAGGGUAGUGGUGACCUAUAAUAACUGGAGUCCCAGAAUUCAAAACCAGAUACUGAAACAGGAGAAGGAACACAGCUCUGAAGAAAACCAUAUCAAGCUGAAGAAUAAUAUUACUGUAGAAAUGACCUGUAAGUUUACCUUCUUCUCUCAUCACAUCAUUCUUUACUGCUUUACAUUCUUAUUCCUGUUUCAUAGAGGGGAGAGGAAAAAAACAUAGAAGAAGCUUUAGUGGGAUAGGUUUGGGCUAGAAUUGGUUGAAAAGUGAGCUAGUGCAUAAGUAGCUGAAAGAGAAAGGGAGGGAUUAGUGUAAUUACUGGUGGGAUUUGAUAUUUUAUAGGGAAAAAGUCGGUGGUAGGAAUGAUGAAAUGUGAGACUAGAAAUGAUAUUGUUCGCUCAUCUUUUGCUUUGUGGAGGGCAAUCAAUAUGAUGAUUAGACUUUCACUUAAUAUUUAAAUCUAUAUCUUAAGAGAGAACAUUGUGCUGGGAUUGUUUUUAUGAAGGAAUGGGAAAGAAAGAGAUGAAACUUUGUGGACUUGGAUUAAAAAAAAAAACGUAAUGUUUCUCUCUCUUUCCCUUGUGGGUGGUGAGUGGGUGUGCUUGUGGGGGACAUUCGGGUUUUUCUGGCUGGUGGCUGCAACAUGUUACAAUUUUUCAAUAUAUAUAUUUAUUUCUAGAAAUUAUUCAAGCAUCCUAAAUAAACAAGUUAUCUACUUAGACCCUAUUUAUGUUUUUGGGGAAUUUAUUUUCCUUUUUAAAACGUAAUCAAAUAGAACAUGUUUGAAAUGAAAACUAUAAUAGUGAUUUGUAAACGAAAGGGAGAAAACUGGAGGAGAGUGGCUAGAGCACAAGGAUGAAAGAAAAAGGCUUGUGGUCUGCUGCAUAAUCAAAAUUACAAUAAUGAUUGUAAGACAUCAUUUUUCCUAUGUUCAUUGGCUUUGGCCAUGUCUGUUCAACAAUAAUCAAACCCCUUUUUCCGAUAAAUUAGUUCAAAAGUUCUUUCUUUUCUGCCUCUUCUUUACUUGCAUAUCACCAUCUUCUUCAUUUCAAUUUAAUAGAGUUAGAGAAUAGAGGCCUACAGUAGGGACCUAGAACAAAUUUUAGUAGAAUAAAGGGACUGAAAUGCAAAUUUGGAGUAGAGUGAUUCGGUGGGUGGCGGCCUCCUUUCUUCCAGAAUCUCAUUUCCAUAUUUUCUUAGGUUCCAUCUUCAACCUUCAAAAGCACCUCACAUUCCACAGGCUCACAGAAAGAACAGAGAUAGAGGGAGAGAACGGAGAUAGAGGGAGAUUGCAGUUUCUUGUAUGAAUUGGGCAAUAGAAGGAAGAAUUUUGUUUUUUUUUUGCUUGUUUGCUUUUGAUUAUGGAUUAGAGGUCAACUCUUGUCGAUGAGACAUCUGAAAAAGUAAUGGAAUGGGUUUUUUCCCUUACAACAAUACAA